UUUGAUAAUUGUUAUAUUUGGAUGUUACCAAGAUUUAGGUUUAGAAUAUCUAAGAUUUCCAUCUAUGUUUUUUGUUAGAACAGUAAACAAGGAUAUGUUUCUUCUCUCGGAUCUAGAAACCAUGAUUCCUCUUUUCUUCACUUGUGAUGAUUUUUUAUAUAAAUUUCUUUUAGUAGUGAGUGAGCUUCUGAAAUGAAUAAUUUUGGCAAAAAUAUCAAUUCGAUCUUCCCGUUCUGCGGCUCAAAGGUUGACGACUACCAUCGGGAACUGCCCAGUUAAGUCUACCAGGUUGUAAGCUCCUCCAUGUUGUUCCUUCGGUUACUUUUAAUAAGAUUUGCUCGAUUGUUGGAAUGGUUAGUUCCUGAACGACCAAGUAACACAUUGGAAGAUGGAAAAACAUGACCGCAUCAUUAAGCCAUUCUUUUGCAUGCACAUGAUGUAGAUGUUUAGUCUCAAGUCUGCGGUUUGGGAAGUUCUUUAACAGACCUCUGGUAGAUCUUCUGAUGUUUAGCAACGCAUUUCUGCAGGGUUCCACAUGCUAACCUCAGCAAGCACAAACCACAGGGUCGUCUUCCUCUCUAACCGCUUCCGCACCGUCAUGGAUGUCGCAGACCUCAUCCUCGAGAAGCUCCUCUACCAGGUACGAACAUUCAGAUUCAGGCCAUCUCCCUCUCCCUAUGCAUCUCUGUAAAAAUAGGGUAAACAUCUCUUCAGAAAUACACUCUGCUGACUGAUUUGGUUCCUUCUGUAUUGACCUGCGCAAAAUAGGAUCAAUGAAACCAUUGAUUGUAACCAAGAGUAUAACUAUAUGCUCGCUUCAUGGUGCUUUACCUCAAGAUAUUUGAUAUAUGCUCAUAUUGUACAUUUAACUUUUUGGUAAUUACCGAAUUGUUUCCUUUUUCAGUGUUCUGCAGUGAUGGAAGAGGUUCUAAUGAUCUUCCAGCCAGGGAGGAAGUGAACUCACAAAAAUAUGAGGCAGGUAACAUGAUCCGCUUGUAGCAAAUAUUACUUGCUCCCUAUUGGGAAUUUUUCUUUUCACUUGUUGUUGAGUGAUGGGAAAAAAGUAACGAUGCAAGUCGAGUGAUUGAUAAUUAGUACAUUAUAGGUCCUGAUUUCAUUGUUUAAAGUUAUAAUGCAGUCAUGCUUGAGGUUGAUGUGUAUAAAAUUCUGUAACGACUACAUGUUGCUGCCUACAUGUGCUUGAGUUACUCAUGUUGUCCUAAAUGGAUGUAGAAGAUUAAUUUAGCCAAUAGGAUGCCUGGUCAUGCUUGAUAUGCUUUGUAUCAUGAUUCAUAUUUAAGUGUUUUCUCAUUCAGUGGCACAUAGAUAUACUAAAAAGUUUCUAGCUUGGUGAGUGUCAAAUAGUCCGUGAUUGCUUGUACCUUUCCAUUUGCAUUUGAUAAAUUUUCUAUAUCUAUAUGUUACUCAUGCGUCAUGAUAGAUAGAAUCACUUCUCUUUUGGAUAAUUGUCAUUAGCAUGCCACUUUCUUCUAGAUAAUUCAUAAUGGCCACCGGUGAGCUGCAUAUCGUUCAUAUUCCUUAGCGGCAUUAUGGUACUAACUGUCAAUUUUUUGUAACUUUCUUUUGGAUAAUUGAUAAUGGCGGUCGGCGAGCUGCAUAUCGUUCAUAUUCCUUAGCGGCUGAUAGUACUAACUGCCAUUUUUCGUAAAAUACUUCUCUUUAUAUGCUUAUUGUUGUUGCUUCAUCUCACAUUUUUCUUCUCAAUUGAUUUGCAUAUUGUAGGCUAUUUCCUCUGCCAGAAUGAAAGGGGAAUAUGCUGAGAGGUGGGGACAACCAAAAUGCCAAGUAACUUCACUUAUGAACUCUUUGUUCUUUUAGAAGCUAUUGUUUUGUAUGCUUGGAUUUAGGCCAUGCUGCCUUUGUUAAGAAUAUCAGCAGUGUCAUAUGUGGCUUCGAUUACCUCUUCCUCUCCACUUCAUCCCCACCCUCUCAUGUCAGUUUUGGUUUCAUGCAUAGUAUUCUGACAUGGCAUGCACAUAAUCAAAGGAUAAAUUUAGGUUUCGUACUAUAAUUCCUAUUCAUAUUUAGUAGGCAGGAAAACAUGCAACAUUGUGUUGUACAAACUGGUUAUAGAUGUGUAAUUGGUGAAGUGUAUUUCAAAACCAAACUGGUUACUGUUAAUUGGAGGAUUGAAACAAUUGUGUUGAUAGCCUUGACGCAUGAUGAGAGUCUCAUUGCUUUACAGACGAGAAGCAAUGGAAGGCAAUGCUACUGUAGUUUAUACGCUCAGGUUUCUUUGCUUCUGUUUGGCCUUUGUCAGGUAUAGAACGAUGCAUGUCUUCCUUGCUAAUAUUCAUGCCUCCUUGCAUCCUAAUAUCUUUACUUGCAUUCUGGCUUCAACUAUUAUUUGAAUGUAGCUUAUUCAUGGAUAAAUGCUUUACAUGCUCAUCUGGCCUCCGUCUCGGCGUUCAUGUUGUGAUUGCCUCCGCAAUGAAACCUAAUAAAGUGAUAUAUCUUCUUCAUUCCUGUUAGCCUUAAUUAGAGUUGAUCUUAUGCCUGGAGGUUGUGUUGCACUUACUUAGGUGCCGCUUCCUGGAUUAAAUAGGACAUGCUUUGUUGUUGUUAUGUAGCUACCUAGGUUGUAUGUUAAUAGUAUCCUUGUCGUUGUUGUGUCAAUGGCGUUUUUAGUUUUAUUUGUAGUGAUAAACCUAGUUGAGCACUGAGAGAAUUUCCCAUGUACACAAAGAUUCACAAAAGGUGGCUAUCUCAGUAACUUAAUCUACUUUUGGAAGAUGCACAAAAGGUAAAGGCCCAUAUGCAUGUUGUUAUCCAUGGGUUGUGAUGGUUUAGAUUGGUUAUAUUCCACUAGGACUGGAAAUACUUCCAAAAAAUGUUGUAUUACCUCUGUCUUGAUAAUUUAUAUUUGUGUGGUGUGAUUUCCAGACUUCAUGGUCCAUAGAGUAUGAUCCAUAUUGUCAAAAACAUAUCGAGGUCGUGAUUGAUUGUGCAACAGAAUCUUUGGCAUGAUUCAUAUAAAUUGGUGUUUAUAUCAUGCUUAAUUCCCAGGCCUUUCACCUGAAAAUGAAGAUUUUUUUUGUAUUGUCAUGUAUUCUUUUCUUCCUCCUUUUUGCUCUUUUGUGAGCUUAAUUUUUUCCUCACUACAUAGAACAAUUAUGUGUUGCUUCUGUGAGCUUAUUCACUAAGCUUCUAGACCACAAGAGACUCUUUUGAUGCAUACAGAGUAAAAGUAUUCUAAUUUGCAUCCAGUUAAGUUGUUUCGUUCCUGUUCCUGAUUUGUAUUUGCAUCCACCUAUUAUUUGUUCCUAAUCAUUUACAAGUUAAUACUAAUGAGACUUUAGUUAUCAAUGUUUGAAUAAGGUGGCAGCCAGCAGCGCCGGAAGCUCGAGGCUCUGGUUUCCCUUCCAGCAGUGCGGGGCUGCCAUCCCGAAGUAGCAUC
rnacentral:lncRNA from 1 species